rnacentral:rRNA from 1 species
AUGAGGAUCGGACGAAGCUAGGAAUGAGUAUGCUUCUAAUUCGAGUAAGGGAACGACAGUAGAAAAUAUUCGUAACCUUAUCUUCUUCCCGGACGAGAAAACCCGCAACACCCCGUCAUUCUUCUGGGAAGAAGCGGGACAGCUGCAUUUGCCAACCGAACCUUGAUUCAUACUCCCCGCUGCAUCCAGGGGGGGGGGGUUUGUGGUAUCAUUUAAUCAGGGCGGCUCAGCUCAUCCUCUCAGGGGGGAGGCGUCGCGUCGACGAAGAGAGACUACGCCACCUACAAGAGAUAACCCCAUCAGGUAAUCUGAUAGGGCAAGCAGCGAAAAUCUCCCGCGGGGCGGACGGGGGACGUUAUUAAAUGAGGAUCAGCAUGCCGCGGUUAAUCCCUUCCCGGGCCUUGAACACCCCGCCCGCCACACCACAAGAGUUUGUAACACCCGAAGUCGGUGAUGUAACCUUUUAGGAGCCAGCCGCCGAAG